CAGUCGCCGCGGUAAUACAGAGGAUGCAAGCGUUAUCCGGAAUGAUUGGGCGUAAAGCGUCUGUAGGUGGCUUUUCAAGUCCGCCGUCAAAUCCCAGGGCUCAACCCUGGACAGGCGGUGGAAACUACCAAGCUGGAGUACGGUAGGGGCAGAGGGAAUUUCCGGUGGAGCGGUGAAAUGCGUAGAGAUGUGGAGGAACACCAGUGGCGAAGGCGACUCUCUGGUCUGUAACUGACGCUGAGGAGCGAAAGCGUGGGGAGCGAACAGGAUUAGAUACCCCCGUAGUCCCUGUCUCUUAUAC
rnacentral:rRNA from 1 species